UACGUAGGGGGCAAGCGUUGUCCGGAUUUACUGGGCGUAAAGAGCGUGUAGGCGGCCACGCAGGUCCGUUGUGAAAACUGGAGGCUCAACUUCCAGCCGUCGACGGAAACCGUGUGGCUAGAGUCCGGAAGAGGAGAGUGGAAUUCCUGGUGUAGCGGUGAAAUGCGCAGAUAUCAGGAAGAACACCAAUGGCGAAGGCAGCUCUCUGGGACGGUACCGACGCUGAGGAGCGAAAGCGUGGGGAGCGAACAGG
rnacentral:rRNA from 1 species